rnacentral:rRNA from 1 species
GACGAACGCUGGCGGCGUGCCUAAUACAUGCAAGUUGAGCGAUGAAGAUUGGUGCUUGCACCAAUUUGAAGAGCAGCGAACGGGUGAGUAACGCGUGGGGAAUCUGCCUUUGAGCGGGGGACAACAUUUGGAAACGAAUGCUAAUACCGCAUAACAACUUUAAACAUAAGUUUUAAGUUUGAAAGAUGCAAUUGCAUCACUCAAAGAUGAUCCCGCGUUGUAUUAGCUAGUUGGUGAGGUAAAGGCUCACCAAGGCGAUGAUACAUAGCCGACCUGAGAGGGUGAUCGGCCACAUUGGGACUGAGACACGGCCCAAACUCCUACGGGAGGCAGCAGUAGGGAAUCUUCGGCAAUGGACGAAAGUCUGACCGAGCAACGCCGCGUGAGUGAAGAAAGUUUUCGGAUCGUAAAACUCUGUUGGUAGAGAAGAACGUUGGUGAGAGUGGAAAGCUCAUCAAGUGACGGUAACUACCCAGAAAGGGACGGCUAACUACGUG